CUUUUAAUUAAUGUGUUGACAACUUCAUAAUUUAGAAACAAAAUUAUUUAAAAAAUAAACUACCCACAUUAAUUCAUUAAACAUACGGUUACCAACAACCCCUAAAUAUUUGCCCCUUUCUAUGUGUGCACUACCUACAAUUAUCCACUUUAUUUUCAUUAAAAUUUAUUUUUAUUAUUCUUUUAAAAAAAAUAAAUACCCACUAUUUUUUUUAGCAAAAAAAUACCCACUAUUUUAGUUAUACGUUUCUAUUUUCUUUUUUUUCCUUAUACAAUUCUGCCAUUAUUUUUUGUUAGCAUAUCCAGUUUUCUUCCUACAUUAUUAUCUUCAAUUAUCACUUAAUUGUUCAGUAAUAUACAGACAUCUUCAGUCUCACAAAAAAAAUAUAUAAAAAAAUCAUGUACUUAUGAACCGUACUAUCAGUUGUCAUGCCUUCAGCCAAGGAUUUGAUUGUUUGACUAUGGUAAACAUCAAAAAUUCUACUCUAUCCGUACUGAAGUAGCUAGGAUUACUAAUUCACGAACACUUUAUUCAUACACAAGUGACAUUAUCCUCACAAAGGUAUGGAAAAUCAUAGGUCAUCUAUGUCAUACUAUCGAAGACUAGCAUGGGAAAUGAUGACCGCUAAACAACUUAAACAAGAAGCUAUUGCCCGAAAUGCUCGAAGGCGGUCUACUUAUAAUUUAAGGAGAAAUGCUCGACAACAAGACCGUGCUUCUACUCUAUUGGAUAUUACUAAUCAAGACAUCACAACUAACACAUACACUACUUCAAAUCAUGCUUCAAGAUGCACACGUGAUGAGUGACAUUUACGUCACUCUUAAGGAGUAGUUUUAGAGUCUUUUUCGUGUUUAUUUUCCCUU